rnacentral:rRNA from 1 species
ACUCUGAGAGAGAGUAACAGUGCGUGAAGCCGUUCAAGGUAAACGGGUGGAGUUGAACUGUGAGUUCCRAGGGUUCAGCUGGUAACCAUGGUUGAGCUUGGUUAAAUUGGCUGGKUGCUGGGGUCUGCGUAUUAKCAGGKCCUCACUUCGGUGGGGAUGUGCGAUACACUCGUUGAGUGUUGUGCGCCCUAGUUUUCCGGGCCUGGUUGCCAGUGCACUCCCUCGGGACGGUCACCACRACCGGCACUGCCGUUGGUCUGUUGUAGUCAAACCGGGCGCGCUUUGUCCUUGUGGCUCURUGCGUUCGGGAUGGCAGGUAGCUCUUUGGCUUGCUUGCAGGCCUUGGGGUGAAAUCAGCUGGCUGAAAUUUGACUAUGCGGKGUGCCGGUGACGGCGGCUUGAGGUGUGUGCGUGCGCGCUAGUUUCCCGGCGUGUCCAUGUCUGGUUGCUCAGUUGCUCACCUAGUGGGCCAAGCGGCGACUGGGAUAUGUUCGGGAGGCGGUCGUGUGCGUGACAUCGUACUUGGGCCAAUAGUCUGUGGUGUUGCGGUAGACGAUCCACCUGACCCGUCUUGAAACACGGAC